AUUCCUGCCCGUUAGCUUACUGAGGGAAGCCUGGGAGGCCUGCGAAGAAGGGCCCGUGGGCGGGCCUGAUAGCUGCCUCAUUCAGUGAGAGACUCACAAAUGGGCCAAUGUCAAAGGGGGAGCAGUGUGCCCUGUAGAGGCAUCAGGAAUCAGAGGGGAUACUCAAAACUUAGGGAGCCCUCUCCCCUCCAGGAGCACUUUCUUCUGGUCAAGAAAGAGGACGGGACUGGCACCAACCUGCACCAUCAAUCCUGCUUCCUGCUCAGCCCUCAUCUGAGGAGCUGCAUAGGACCUCAGGGUGAUAGGACCUCAGGGUUCGGGGAUGGGGGGCGUGAAAACUCAUCUUGCCCAACCUUCUCUAAGAGAGCCUCUGAAUUCUAGUGACAGAGAGCCUGUCAUUUAAAAGACAACCUAGGGCCAGCUCUGGUGGCCAGUGUUUAAGUUUGGCACACUCCGCUUUGGCGGCCCGGGUUCAGUUUCCAGGUGGUGACCUACACCAUUCUUCUGUUAGUGGCCAUGAUGUGGUGGCAGCUCACAUACAAAAAAAAAAGAGGAAGAUCGGCAGCAGAUGUUAGCUCAGGGCUAAUCUUCCUCAAGAAAAAAAAAAUUCAACUGCAUGUAAUUGCCUCCUUGAAACUUGACAUUCCUAUUCCCAGGUCCUCCUGAGCCAGGGAGCCACAGAGAUCAAGUCCAAUCCAGUGUACACUGAGCAGCCCUUGGGCUAUUUGUUCAUUCUCCACACAGUACCUCUUCAGGCACAGAGCUCCACCAGCCCCCAGUCACAGUGUGCCCUCGUCUGCGAUGCCUUCGUCUUUGCUGGGCUAUCAACUUGGAACAUCCUCUCUCACCCCUUCUCCACUGAACCAGCUUGUGUACUCACUCGAGAUUCAGCUCUGGUGCCUCCUUUCUAGAAACCUCCUUGAUAGUGUUUGGGGGCCUUUUCCUUCUCCCUUCCACGGUGCCUUGGGCAGGUCUCAGCCCAUUUUUCAUUAAGCAAUGCGAGCCCCCAGCAGGCAGGUGUUCAGCAAACACUUGCUGACUAACUGCAGGAAAGACAGACGGAAAGUGAGGCCAAGCGCUCAAACCUGAAGCCAACAGGAGCACAAUACUGGGUAAAUGUCUGGUGAGUACUAAUGGUUUCCUGUAUAUAAGGCUUUGUGUGUGACAGAGAGAAAAAAAGAGAGAGCCUGGUGAGUAGGGACCCCGUCCCCUAUUUUGCUGAGCCCAGCACUGGCACAUGGCGGGUGGGGGGCAAAGGCUGCCCAGUCAUCAGAUAAUCAGAAGGGUCAGAGCACUGCUUCUCCAAGGAGGAAAGCAGGUUGAGGCCCCAGAGAAUCCCAGAGGGGCCCCACUCUACCACUGGACUGCC
rnacentral:lncRNA from 1 species